rnacentral:rRNA from 1 species
GACGAACGCUGGCGGCGUGCUUAACACAUGCAAGUCGAACGGAAAGGCCCUGCUUUUGUGGGGUGCUCGAGUGGCGAACGGGUGAGUAACACGUGGGUAACCUGCCCUUGACUUUGGGAUAACUUCAGGAAACUGGGGCUAAUACCGGAUAGGAGCUCCUGCUGCAUGGUGGGGGUUGGAAAGUUUCGGCGGUUGGGGAUGGACUCGCGGCCUAUCAGCUUGUUGGUGGGGUAGUGGCUUACCAAGGCUUUGACGGGUAGCCGGCCUGAGAGGGUGACCGGCCACAUUGGGACUGAGAUACGGCCCAGACUCCUACGGGAGGCAGCAGUGGGGAAUAUUGCACAAUGGGCGGAAGCCUGAUGCAGCAACGCCGCGUGCGGGAUGACGGCCUUCGGGUUGUAAACCGCUUUCGCCUGUGACGAAGCGUGAGUGACGGUAAUGGGUAAAGAAGCACCGGCUAACUACGUG